UGUGUCCUCUCAAACUUUUUUUUUUUUUUGCUCUCCCCGCGACGCACGGCAGCGCGCACCGAGCCAGCCGACCCCCGCAGGUGGGAUUUGAACACAGAUUAACCAGCAAAGCAUUUUCUCCCCCCUGUGCGAGGCUAAGGAAAUAAAAAUAUGUGGAAAUCACACGGAAGAUGUACAGAGUCACCUAUCAAGCGACUUUUAAGACGAAGAGGAGGAUUAAGAGACUGUGCAGUUUUCUUUUGGAGAAGGUGAAGACUUAUCUCAUAAGGAUUUAGACUUCAGCAGCAGCAGCAGCAGCAGUGCCAGUCGGAUUGGCACACUUGGAAAUCUAAAACUCAUGGAGACACUUUGAGGAUUAUAAAAAAUGUGUAGUAAGUCUCUCUACAAGACAUGUCCCGGGCCAAAGUCCCUGGGAUAGCAGGAUAUUGCAUUUCUGAUCCUCCUCGGCCCUUCGCAUGGGGAGUGUGGGAGUGGUGAGGUCUGGGAGAUCACGACCUUAAUUCUCUCCAAGACAGACAGUUUAAUUAACACUGGAGGAAUCCUCACUGACUCCAGACCUCUACAAUGAGAACGUACAGGGGAAUUGGAUUGCCCAGGUCCUCUUGGCCAUUUAGUAGACUGAGAUGCUGACAGACGAUGCCCAUGAAUGAUGAAUGAUGACUGGAGGUCUGUCUGGUGCCAGCAGAAUGCAUAAUACAGCGUAGAUACAGCAUUUCCAGUCCCCCUCACCAGGAACAUGGUGCUGUUCCUGUAACAUAUUAUUGCAAGAUUUGCCCUCAGCCGGACAGCAGGAGCACUUAAAGUGGAAAUCAGCUGCAAAAGCGCCUUCAGGAAUGUUGUUUUCUACCUGGAAUCCGAAAUGAAGGAGCUUUAUAUGGGAUUGGCUGGCCUCCUUCAUUGUAGUCCACAUUGCACGAAGACCACCUCACAGGGAUUUUCCUCUUCACCAGUAUAUGUCUGUAUGGAGCAGAGCUACAAAGCAUCCUGCCUGCAAAUGGAAGAACACAGAUGAAGAACAGCUUGUUGGAGACAAAAUAAGAAGAAAGAAGGACAAAGACGAAACAUGUAGGUGUUUUUGAAUAUCUGCAUCAGUUAAAUUAUGCAUAUUUCUCACACAUAAGGUGACUUCUAAUUGUUUCUCAUUCCAAGUAUUUGACUUUGGGUAUAUUGGCAGCAGCUGGCGAGUCUGUCUAGAGUCUAAAUUAGAAGCCGAGGUUGUGCAUUCACAUCAAUCAGGCUCACGGUUGUGACAUUUCACAUUGGACUGUAAAGAACAAUAAAUAUGCACGGAUAUUAUGUUUUAUGUGUUGUGUAGUAAAACAAAAAUAAUGAUGACCGCUCUUAGUAAAAACUUUUAAUGUUCUUUUUGGACAAUAAUAUGUUUGUGAAUGCUUCUGUAAUGCCGACAUGUUUACUCUAAUUGUAUGAUACAGGAACACCAGGGUGUAUUCUACUGGAUAGUAAAAAAGCUUUCUUUUGUAGCAGUAAAAAACAGUCGGUUGUUUGUCGUCCACAUUUUGUUCCACAGUACAUACAUGUAGCUUUCAUCAACUGUAUGUGCAUUUGAGAAAACGUGGCUGGAACAAUGUAUCUGGUGCAAGUACAAGUCUGCUACGAUAACAUAUUCAUGUAUGUGCAUUGUGUAUAGUGAUCACAAUUUCGUCACAGGGGAACAAAAACGACAUUAAGGGCAUGUACUCAUACAAUAUGCAAAACUCUAUGGAGAAAUAUACCCCGACUGGAGUGCUCUCCUGACAAUAUAUGUGAAGAGUUCCACUUUUAUCAUCACAACAUAGAUUAUUAAUGAAUAUUGUAUUGUUCUGUGAAAAAUCUAGGUAAUAUAAUGUUGAAUAAAGGAUUCUAAUGGUUGCUCAACAGACUCGUGAAAACAUGGAACUACACUUGUCAUGUGACACAAUAAAAGCAGUGUGGGAAUUGUGAA